CAGACAACCAGACAAGUCGUCGAAGGACAACAACAACGGCACUGACAGACAAUAUAUCGACACCGCAGUUUUCUGCAAUGUGUUUACGUCGGUGGGUCAUUGAUGGCCGAAAGUUGAAAUAUCAGAUCACACUUAAUUUAUUUCGCCAUAUAGCUUGGCUUCUCGAAUUUUUUUCUUAUCAUUGGAUAACUUUUAACAAUGGAUCUGUUGGCUUGUGGCAUGAAUGAACAACGCACGUUGCUGGGAAUAUGUCUAUCUGAGUGUAGUAUAGAUAACAGAUAUAACAAGAACGCAUGGAUGAGGGUUCGAACACGAUCACAAAACGUAUCACUAUUAUUAUAUAAGUAGCAUUUAUAUUUAUUUACAAUGAACGGCAACGUUUCAGAGGAACACGGAUGGUUUUCAAAGACUGUGCCUAA